GCGGGGAUAACUCAGUUGGAAGAGCGUCAGACUGAAGAUCUGAAGGUCGCGUGUUCGAUCCACGCUCACCGCA
rnacentral:tRNA from 1 species